rnacentral:rRNA from 1 species
AUUGAACGCUGGCGGCAGGCCUAACACAUGCAAGUCGAGCGGAGCGGCGGACGGGUGAGUAAUGCCUAGGAAUGUGCCUGGUAGUGGGGGAUAACGUCCGGAAACGGGCGCUAAUACCGCUUCCUAUCAGAUGAGCCUAGGUCGGAUUAGCUAGUUGUGGGGGUAAAGGCAUCCCUAGGCGACGAUCCGUAUCUGGUGUGAGAGGAUGAUCAGUCACACUGGGACUGAGACACGGUCCAGACUCCUACGGGAGGCAGCAGUGGGGAAUAUUGGACAAUGGGCGAAAGCCUGAUCCAGCCAUGCCGCGUGUAUGAAGAAGUUCUUCGGAUUGUAAAGCACUUUAAGUUGGGAGGCGUUACCAACAGAAUAAGCACCGGCUAACUUCGUGCCAGCAGCCGCGGUAAUAC